rnacentral:snoRNA from 1 species
AUGCCAAAGUUUCAAAUACUUAGCUCAGCCUUAAAAAAAGAAAAGUGAAGCUGGCAAUAACAGUAAAGCCAUGUUAUGAGCCUUAAGGAUAAUUGAAAUCAUGAAGGUCCCUGAAAGUGGCCACAUUU